rnacentral:rRNA from 1 species
AGAGAGAGACAUGCGUGCAUAUCAAUAAGCGGAGGAAAAGAAACUAACAAGGAUUCCCCUAGUAACGGCGAGUGAAGCGGGAAGAGCUCAAAUUUGAAAUCUUAAAGGGUUUCCCUUUACGAAUUGUAGUUUAAAGAAGUGUUUUCUGUUGAGGUUUUGGUAAAAGUUCUUUGGAAUAGGACAUCAUAGAGGGUGAGAAUCCCGUAUUUGACCUUUACUUUCAACUUUGUGAUACACUUUCAAAGAGUCGGAUUGUUUGGGAAUGCAGUCCAAAAUGGGUGGUAAAUUUCAUCUAAAGCUAAAUAUUGGCGAGAGACCGAUAGCGAACAAGUACCGUGAGGGAAAGAUGAAAAGAACUUUGAAAAGAGAGUUAAACAGUACGUGAAAUUGUCAAAAGGGAAGCGUUUGACACCAGUGUUGUUUUUCUGAAAAUCAAUUAAAGAACUGUUUAUGCUAAGUUGUUUAGACUUUAUCAGCUAUCUGUUUCAGUUUUGAGCUUUUCUUUAAUGCACUUUUCAGUUAACAAGUCAACAUCAAUUUCUUUUGCUGUAAAAAAGCUUGAGGAAGGUGGCUUGAGAUUCGUCUUAAGUGUUUAUAGCCUCUUGCCUAUGCAGUCGGAGAGAUUGAGGUCUGCAGCGUAGAUCCUUCGGGGCUAAAGUGCAUUUGUGCUAAGUUAUAGCAUUUUAUAGACAACUUGUUGACUAUGAUUUGUCUUGUAGCUUACUCGCUUAUGUUAUUUUACCUACGCUUAGGAUGUUGAGCGCAUGUCUCUCUCU